AACGAACGCUGGCGGCAGGCUUAACACAUGCAAGUCGAACGCAUUCUUCAGGGUGAGUGGCAGACGGGUGAGUAACGCGUGGGAACGUGCCCUUCAGUUCGGGAUAACCCAGGGAAACUUGGGCUAAUACCGGAUACGUGCGAGAGCAGAAAGAUUUAUCGCUGAAGGAUCGGCCCGCGUCUGAUUAGCUAGUUGGUGGGGUAAUGGCCCACCAAGGCGACGAUCAGUAGCUGGUCUGAGAGGAUGAUCAGCCACAUUGGGACUGAGACACGGCCCAAACUCCUACGGGAGGCAGCAGUGGGGAAUAUUGGACAAUGGGCGCAAGCCUGAUCCAGCCAUGCCGCGUGAGUGAUGAAGGCCUUAGGGUUGUAAAGCUCUUUCGUCCGGGACGAUAAUGACGGUACCGGAAGGAGAAGCCCCGGCUAACUUCGUGCCAGCCGCCGCCGUAACAC
rnacentral:rRNA from 1 species